rnacentral:rRNA from 1 species
GAUGAACGCUGGCGGCGUGCUUAACACAUGCAAGUCGAACGAAGCAUUUAGGACAGAUUACUUCGGUUUGAAGUUCUUUAUGACUGAGUGGCGGACGGGUGAGUAACGCGUGGGUAACCUGCCUUGUACUGGGGGAUAGCAGCUGGAAACGGCUGGUAAUACCGCAUAAGCGCACAAUGUUGCAUGACAUGGUGUGAAAAACUCCGGUGGUAUAAGAUGGACCCGCGUCUGAUUAGCUAGUUGGUGAGAUAACAGCCCACCAAGGCGACGAUCAGUAGCCGACCUGAGAGGGUGACCGGCCACAUUGGGACUGAGACACGGCCCAGACUCCUACGGGAGGCAGCAGUGGGGAAUAUUGCACAAUGGAGGAAACUCUGAUGCAGCGACGCCGCGUGAGUGAAGAAGUAAUUCGUUAUGUAAAGCUCUAUCAGCAGGGAAGAUAGUGACGGUACCUGACUAAGAAGCGCCGGCUAAAUACGUG